UACGAAGGGUGCUAGCGUUGUUCGGAAUUACUGGGCGUAAAGCGCGCGUAGGCGGCUUGUCAAGUCAGGGGUGAAAUCCUGGGGCUUAACCCCAGAAUUGCCUUUGAAACUGUCAAGCUGGAGUGUCGGAGGGGAUAGCGGAAUUGCUAAUGUAGAGGUGAAAUUCGUAGAUAUUAGCAGGAACACCGGUGGCGAAGGCGGCUAUCUGGACGACAACUGACGCUGAGGCGCGAAAGCGCGGGGAUCAAACAGG
rnacentral:rRNA from 1 species